AACGCACAAGGUACCCCUUUCACAAUCUGUUGUUUCUUCUCCUCUGACCAUGCAAAGGUUUAUCAGCCACCGGUGACAAACUGCACUCACCAAUAGGUGAAGACCGGAUUGAGAGUUUUUCUAAUUGCCUUGGGGAUGCAGCACGCUGACAAUCAUCUUCAGAUCCUGAAUAACCCCUUCUGACCAUGCAAAGGUGACAAACUGCACUCACCAAUAGGUAAAGACAGGAUUGAGCGACUUUCUAAUUGCCUUGGGGAUGCAGCACACUGACAAGACGGGUCCUCAUCUUCAUAUCCUGAAUAACUCUGUUGGGACUUCGAUGCUUGCACUAUGACAAAAUCAGUCCGUGAAUUUGGACAUGUUUCAACUUCACUGCUACCAUCACAGAUCAAAUAUGCUGUUGAAUAUGCCCUGGCUUCUUCAACAGCAAUGCGCUGAUUGCACAGUUCUUCUCUCAUUAUGUCAAUUUCUUCAGAGCCAAAUCUUGCUCUUCCAAACAGUGUAAUAUCUGGUUCCUGAACUGGAGGGGAUGGCAUGAACUUCAGUUCAAGCGUGCAGAUAUCAAAGUCUGUACAUUCUUCACCACUAGGAGAGGCUGAAUGAUCAUGAUCAUCAUCGACAGAAAUCGAGUGAUCUUCAUUUGUGUGCGUGUCGGAAUCCAGCAAUGUAGAAGGGGAGGACACUGACUUUCGGAGAGGAUUCUUGAAUAUCUUCCACAGUGGAUCAUCAGCAGUUAAGCAGGUCUUGAAACAUUUUUUCUUUACAUAGCUCAAUUCCAUGGCAAAGCAUGGUGGUGUUGUUGAAAUUACCCAUUGAGGCUGGAGAAGUUCCAAGGCCUGUUCUAACUCAUCACGAGAGGAAUGGAUGGAGAAACAAAUGUGCCAGACCCCACAACCAUCCAGCACAGCUUCUGUUAGGCUAGGUUUCUGGCUUUGAGCACAGUGCGCAUACCACUGUGUUGAGGGACGGAUAAAUAGAGGUUCAGGCUGAAGGCUAGCCCUUGCCUCUUCAAUCUUUGUACAUGCUUUGUCAUACAAGUUUUGGAAUCCAAGAAUCUACAAAGUAAGAAAGUUGCAAAUG
rnacentral:sRNA from 1 species